rnacentral:rRNA from 1 species
CUACCAAGGCGACGAUGGUUAGCUGGUCUGAGAGGAUGAUCAGCCACACUGGAACUGAGACACGGUCCAGACUCCUACGGGAGGCAGCAGUGAGGAAUCUUGCGCAAUGGGGGAAACCCUGACGCAGCAACGCCGCGUGAGUGAGGAAGGUCUUCGGAUCGUAAAGCUCUGUCAGUUGGAAAGAAAUGUCUGAGAGUUAAUCCCUUUCAGGCUUGACGGUACCAACAGAGGAAGCACCGGCUAACUCCGUGCCAGCAGCCGCGGUAAUACGGGGGGUGCAAGCGUUGUUCGGAAUUAUUGGGCGUAAAGAGCGUGUAGGCGGCCGGAUAUGUCAGAUGUGAAAGCCCCGGGCUUAACCCGGGAAGUGCAUUUGAAACUGUCCGGCUCGAGUAGGGGAGAGGGAAGUGGAAUUCCUGGUGUAGAGGUGAAAUUCGUAGAUAUCAGGAGGAACACCGGUGGCGAAGGCGACUUCCUGGCCCUAUACUGACGCUGAGACGCGAGAGCGUGGGUAGCAAACAGGAUUAGAUACCCUGGUAGUCCACGCCGUAAACGAUGUUCACUAGGUGUUGGGGGUAUUGACCCCCUCAGUGCCGGAGCUAACGCA